rnacentral:rRNA from 1 species
UACGAAGGUGUCAAACGUUGUCCGGAAUAACUGGGCGUAAAGGGCGCGUAGGCGGUCGCGUAAGUCAGAUGUGAAAGCUCUGGGCUCAACCCAGGAAUUGCAUUUGAUACUGCGUGACUUGAGUUCGGUAGAGGAGGGCGGAAUUCCAGAAGUAGCGGUGAAAUGCGUUGAUAUCUGGAGGAACACCCGUGGCGAAGGCGGCUCUCUGGUCCGAUACUGACGCUGAGGCGCGAAAGGUAGGGUAGCAAACAGG